GGGUGAGGUCAGGGAAUGGUGACCACUCAAUUACCCUACCCAGUCCUGCCCCCUCCUAGGAUUCCCUGAGGCCCUAGUGGCCUUCCAGACACUGCAUCUAUUUUUGAGACCCCCCACCUGCAGGAGGCAGCUGUGGCUCCAGCCUGCUUCUGCAGGUGGGACACAGUUGGGUGAUCUGCCAAGAGAGGGUCCCUGGGUGUGCUGGAAUGGGACAGUGUUGCUGGCCCUGCGAGGGGCACAAGGUCAGCACAGAGCUUCCAGGUCUUCGGAGGACAGGAGCCAGCUCUGCUAUGCUGAGCACCCUUCCCUGUCCAGCACCCAGGAGCGGGGCUGGCACUGCCUCACAGGACUGUGCCCUGUCUCUUGGGGUCCCUGGGGCAGGGGAUGCACCCACCUGGAUCCUGCCCCCUGUCUUUGUAGAGUUCACUGUGGGGCAUCUGGACUCCUGAACCCACCCCCAGGUCUGUUGGGCCUGUCCCUGAUCCAGUCAUUCUCCUGCUCAGCUGAAUGUGAGUGUGCUGGAGCGGGGACACCAACGGAACUUGGACACUUGGGGCUGGUGGAUCUGCACACAUGGGGCACACACGUGUGCAAGGCCUCUCCAGUGCAAUAAAGAGCUGCAGUGAACUUGGAAGGGCUGGGCUGCAGCCUGGCUGUCUGCACUGACCUGUUCUGAUGGCAACUCUGGAAAGUCCUGAGUUCACUCCUGGCCUCCCAGAGACAAGGAAGCUGUCAUCAAGGUAGAAAACUGACAUGUUUUCUCUAACAGUUCAUCACGUUGACUUCUGAGGAGACAGAAGGUACCAGAAUCCCAGGACCCUCCCCAUGGUUCUGAGCAGAGACUGAAUUUCCAUCACCGUGGUCCUUCUUACCUCCAGACUUAACCAUCCACCAGCUGUGGGAGGUGAGGUUGGGGGACUCCAGCCACAGCAUCUCAGGGAGCCUGUUUAACGUGCAGAUUCCAGGGCCACCCGGAGACCGGAUGGCGGCUGGAGGUGGGCCUGGGGAGCUGCGGGUUUUGCCAGACUGGUGACUCAGAAGCGUGCCAACCACAGCUCUGGGAGAGGCGUGGGUGCUGACCGUGGAAAAGAAGACGGGGCUCUGUGUUUGAACAUUGCUGGAGAGCACAGACCGGAAGUUUCCUGCUUCUCCAAAUGUAGGUAUGGGAACACCAGGUCCCAUAUUUGUAGGGAACUCCCUUUCCCAACAGCACAUGAGGGAGAAUCUACACUUAUUGGGUCCACCUCUAGAAACCACUCACAUUCUUCAUGCGUCCUGCAAUUCUCUGAAGCCCCCAGGGCACCAUGGAAGGGAGCCUGAGCCUGCCACCAGCCUGUGACUAGGGGCUUCUUCCAUUGAGGCACAGGGGCAAUACAGGUGACUUAAAUUAUCUGACUCUAAGAAAUAAACGUCAAUGUAAAGCAUCAAUUCACCUUCCUGGUCACAAAGAGAAUGCAAAUGGAUUAGGAAAUUUCUUGUUGCGUGGGCUAAUGGCUUUGGAGGGCAGAGGUGUCAAACAGGUGUUGUUCAAACAGCUCAGUGAACCUGAGAUCUGCCACAGGGUGAAAGGGGACCUCGUCAAGAUCCAUUUUCUGUUCUCUGCUGCCCUCUGCUGUCCAGUGCUGGCGGAAACACCUGGGCACAAAGCAUAGUCCAAGGCAUCACUCAGGUUCUAGGAGGUUUCAUACACACCUUAUGAGACAGGUGGUCCUGUGGCUGGGGGUAGGGGUGGGAAGGAGGCCUCCAGCCCCACCUUUCCAGGGGAAUUGCAGGCAGAACUUGGAUAAAAGACUUCACAGAGCUCGGGGGAUGUGUGGCUGAGACUUUUUACAACUAGAACAAGCAUGACUUUUAAUUUUUUAUUAUGGAACAUAAUAAAACAUAGUUAACAUUUGCAAAAUAUAGGACAUA
rnacentral:lncRNA from 1 species